GCAGGGUGCAAGCGUUAAUCGGAAUUACUGGGCGUAAAGCGCGCGUAGGUGGUUCAGUAAGUUGGAAGUGAAAUCCCCGGGCUCAACCUGGGAACUGCUUUCAAAACUGCUGAGCUAGAGUACGGUAGAGGGUGGUGGAAUUUCCUGUGUAGCGGUGAAAUGCGUAGAUAUAGGAAGGAACACCAGUGGCGAAGGCGACCACCUGGACUGAUACUGACACUGAGGUGCGAAAGCGUGGGGAGCAAAC
rnacentral:rRNA from 1 species